GUCUCGGUAGCUAAGUGGUAUAGCGUGGGAUUGCAGUUACUGCUAUUAUCCUAAGGUCGCGUGUUCGAUCCACGCCCGGGACU